rnacentral:rRNA from 1 species
GAUGAACGCUGGCGGCGUGCUUAACACAUGCAAGUCGAACGGAAAGGCCCAAGCUUGCUUGGGUACUCGAGUGGCGAACGGGUGAGUAACACGUGGGUGAUCUGCCCUGCACUUCGGGAUAAGCCUGGGAAACUGGGUCUAAUACCGGAUAGGACCACAUUUUGGAUGGUGUGGUGGAAAGUUUUUCGGUGUGGGAUGAGCUCGCGGCCUAUCAGCUUGUUGGUGGGGUAAUGGCCUACCAAGGCGUCGACGGGUAGCCGGCCUGGGAGGGUGUACGGCCACAUUGGGACUGGGGUACGGCCCAGACUCCUACGGGAGGCAGCAGUGGGGAAUAUUGCACAAUGGGCGCAAGCCUGAUGCAGCGACGCCGCGUGGGGGAGGACGGCCUUCGGGUUGUAAACUCCUUUCGCUAGGGACGAAGCGUUAUGUGACGGUACCUGGAGAAGAAGCACCGGCUAACUACGUG